CGUAGGGUGCGAGCGUUAAUCGGAAUUACUGGGCGUAAAGCGUGCGCAGGCGGUUUUGUAAGAUAGGCGUGAAAUCCCCGGGCUCAACCUGGGAACUGCGCUUGUGACUGCAAGGCUAGAGUACGGCAGAGGGGGGUGGAAUUCCACGUGUAGCAGUGAAAUGCGUAGAGAUGUGGAGGAACACCAAUGGCGAAGGCAGCCCCCUGGGUCGAUACUGACGCUCAUGCACGAAAGCGUGGGUAGCAAACAGGAAUUAGAUACCCUGGUAGUCCACGCCCUAAACGAUGUCAACUAGGUGUUGGGUGGGUAAAACCAUUUAGUACCGGAGCUAACGCGUGAAGUUGACCGCCUGGGGAGUACGGGCCGCGAAGGUUA
rnacentral:rRNA from 1 species